rnacentral:tRNA from 1 species
GGGGAUUUAGCUCAGCGGCAUAAGCGCCUGCCUUGCAAGCAGGCAGUCGGGAGUUUGAUCCCCG